CCUUGGCCUCCCAGUGUUUUAGGAUUACAGGCGUGAGCCGCUGCGCCCAGCCUGGAAAGAAGCACUUUAGAUUUGCUGUUGAGAUUAAACUUCACAAGAGGAAAGGCCAGAAAUAAAAGAUCAGUUAAGAGGUUACAACAGUAAUCCAGGAAGUCUCAGACUGAAAUCUCCCAGGUUGUAACAGAUUGGAUCUCAUUGAUUUAGAUGAAGAAAAGGUUCGAAUAAAUAUACAGAACUAAAGUGUUUAAUUCUGGAAGAUUGCUUGAAACUGAAUGCAGGAGUCCUGCUUCCCUUUUAGACCCAGCAAACACCCUAAGAAAAUCAAGGAAAUCUUUUCCUACUCUGCAAGGUCUAUGAGAAGUUACUAGUCCACAAGUCCAGAUCACCAGCAUGUCACAGAA